AUUGAACGCUGGCGGCAUGCUUUACACAUGCAAGUCGAACGGCAGCGCGGGCUUCGGCCUGGCGGCGAGUGGCGAACGGGUGAGUAAUAUAUCGGAACGUACCCAAGAGUGGGGGAUAACGUAGCGAAAGUUACGCUAAUACCGCAUACGAUCUAAGGUUGAAAGCAGGGGACCGCAAGGCCUUGUGCUCCUGGAGCGGCCGAUAUCUGAUUAGCUAGUUGGUGAGGUAAAGGCUCACCAAGGCAACGAUCAGUAGCUGGUCUGAGAGGACGACCAGCCACACUGGAACUGAGACACGGUCCAGACUCCUACGGGAGGCAGCAGUGGGGAAUUUUGGACAAUGGGGGCAACCCUGAUCCAGCAAUGCCGCGUGAGUGAAGAAGGCCUUCGGGUUGUAAAGCUCUCUUGUCAGGGAAGAAAAGGCUGUGGCUAAUAUCCACAGCUGCUGACGGUACCUGAAGAAUAAGCACCGGCUAACUACGUGCCAGCCGCCGCGGUAAAAC
rnacentral:rRNA from 1 species